UACGUAGGGGGCAAGCGUUGUCCGGAAUCAUUGGGCGUAAAGAGCGUGUAGGCGGCCAGAAAAGUCCGCUGUGAAAGUCGGGGCUCAACCCUCGAAUGCCGGUGGAUACUGUCGGGCUAGAGUGCGGAAGAGGCGAGUGGAAUUCCUGGUGUAGCGGUGAAAUGCGCAGAUAUCGGGAGGAACACCAAUGGCGAAGGCAGCUCACUGGGACGGUACUGACGCUGGAGACGCGAAAGCGUGGGGAGCAAACAGG
rnacentral:rRNA from 1 species